CUGAUAGAGGCGCGGCUGACAGGAGUACCCCGGGCGACGGACAGGGAUCCGCGGGGGAAAGGGGAAGCUGCCGAGGCGACAGAAGAGUUCCUGAUCUUCUGCCUGCCGGGCCGCGGGACAAUAUCCCGCGGACUGUCGCACAGAGCGUCACGGUCAUUGCGGCCGAUGUCAUUCCUGUGCGGAGAGCUGUCG
rnacentral:ncRNA from 1 species